UACGAAGGGGGCUAGCGUUGUUCGGAAUCACUGGGCGUAGAGCGCACGUAGGCGGAUUGUUAAGUCGGGGGUGAAAUCCUGAGGCUCAACCUCAGAACUGCCUUCGAUACUGGCAAUCUCGAGUCCGGAAGAGGUUGGUGGAACAGCUAGUGUAGAGGUGAAAUUCGUAGAUAUUAGCUAGAACACCAGUGGCGAAGGCGGCCAACUGGUCCGGUACUGACGCUGAGGUGCGAAAGCGUGGGGAGCAAACAGG
rnacentral:rRNA from 1 species